ACAAUGUGUGACUCUUUAUGGGUUAUGCAAUUGGAAUGACUACAAUUUAAAGAGUUUAAGAAGGAUCAAUUGGAGGGCAAGUCUGGUGCCAGCAGCCGCGGUAAUUCCAGCUCCAAUAGGAUAUAUCAAAGUUGUUGCAGUUAAAAAGCUCGUAGUUGAAUUUCUGGAAGGUAGAAGUGUUUUUUUUAGAGAAGCGAUUUUUUAUAAAAGACACCGCUUUCCAUUUUGUGGAUUUCUGUUUUGUAUGAGAUAGUUUACUCUAUUUUAUAUAAAAUACCACUCCGUCACUGAGAGCAAAUUGGAGUGCUCAAAGCAGGCUUUAUUAGCUUUGAACAUUUUAGCUUGGAAUGACAAGAUAUGACUUUUGUUUUAUUUUGUUGGUUAUGAAAUAAAAGUAAUGAUUAACAGGAACAGUUGCGGGGGUACUCGUAUUGAAAGGUCAGAGGUGAAAUUCUUGGAUUCUUUCAAGACGAACGACUGCGAAAGCAUUUACCAAGGAUGUUUUCAUUAAUCAAGAACGAAAGCUCGGGGAUCGGAGAUGAUUAGAUACCAUCGUAGUCCGACGCCAUAAACGAUGCCGACUCGGGAUUAUUUUGUUUGUUUAAAAUAAAAAAGAACACAAAGUAGCACCGUAUGAGAAAUCAAAGUCUUUGGGUUCCGGGGGGAGUAUGGUCGCAAGGCUGAAACUUAAAGGAAUUGACGGAAGAGCACACCAGAGGUGGAGCCUGCGGUUUAAUUUGACUCAACACGGGGAAACUUACCAGGUCCAGACAUGAUGAGGAUUGACAGUUUGAAAGCACUUUCUUGAUUUCAUGGGUGGUGGUGCAUGGCCGUUCUUAGUUGGUGGAGUGAUUUGUCUGGUUGAUUCCGAUAACGAACGAGACGGGGUGAAUUUACUAGUUUGUUAUAUAAUUUACGUUAUAUAAGACUUCUUUAUUCGACAACUUGGUUUUACCAAGAGGAAGCGCCCCGCAAUAACAGGUCUGUGAUGCCCUUAGAUGUUCUGGGCUACACGCGCGCUACAAUGACGAAUUCAACGAGUUUAAAAUUUAUUCCUUAUCCGGAAGGAUGUGGGUAAUCUUUUCAAUAUUCGUCGUGAUGGGGCUAGAUUUUUGCAAUUAUUAAUCUUCAACGAGGAAUCUCUAGUAUGUGCAAGUCAUCAGCUUGCGCAGAAUGCGUCCCUGCCCUUUGUACACACCGCCCGUCGCACCUACCGAUUGGACGAUCCGGCAAGAUGUUUGGAGUUGUUUUGAUUGUAGAGUAAUUUAUAAUGAAAAUGACAAAGCUCUUCAAACCUUAUCGUCUAGAGGAAGGUGAAGUCGUAACAAGGUCUCCGUAGGUGAACCUGCGGAGG
rnacentral:rRNA from 1 species